UUAUGAUACAUCCCCUAGUACAUCUAGUUAAUGUUUGGUCAAUUUCAGAUGAAUUUCGCAUCAGCCUUCAUCGUGGCACUUGCUUCCUUUAUGGCAUUCAUCGAUUUGACGAUUGGCAGCCCUGAGCACAAGGAAGGAUGUACAUGUGGCCAACAUAAGGGAUGAGCUUGGGUUAACGUGACUAAUUAUAAAUAGAAAUAAAUCUUUAUGAAAUAA